AAACUUGAGAGUUUGAUCCUGGCUCAGAACGAACGCUGGCGGCAUGCCUAACACAUGCAAGUCGAACGAAGCCUUCGGGCUUAGUGGCGCACGGGUGCGUAACGCGUGGGAACCUGCCUUUAGGUUCGGAAUAACAGUUAGAAAUGACUGCUAAUACCGGAUAAUGUCUUCGGACCAAAGAUUUAUCGCCUUUAGAUGGGCCCGCGUUGGAUUAGAUAGUUGGUGGGGUAAUGGCCUACCAAGUCGACGAUCCAUAGCUGGUCUGAGAGGAUGAUCAGCCACACUGGGACUGAGACACGGCCCAGACUCCUACGGGAGGCAGCAGUGGGGAAUAUUGGACAAUGGGCGAAAGCCUGAUCCAGCAAUGCCGCGUGAGUGAUGAAGGCCUUAGGGUUGUAAAGCUCUUUUACCAGGGAUGAUAAUGACAGUACCUGGAGAAUAAGCUCCGGCUAACUCCGUGCCAGCAGCCGCGGUAAUACGGAGGGAGCUAGCGUUGUUCGGAAUUACUGGGCGUAAAGCGCACGUAGGCGGCUUUUCAAGUCAGGGGUGAAAUCCCGGGGCUCAACCCCGGAACUGCCCUUGAAACUGGAUGGCUAGAAUACUGGAGAGGUGAGUGGAAUUCC
rnacentral:rRNA from 1 species